GACCAGGGACAAUUUCUUUCACUCGACCCAGCAGGUGUCGGUAGGAUUUAGGGCGGAUUGCGAACCGAAUUCCUUCGUUUCAGUGGGAGUUCUGCCCGCCUGAGAACCUGACCCGUGAAUUGAAGGGUCAAAUGACUGCAGAAAUACCGGCCCACGCGGCUGUGCAACAGCUCGUCGGGAUGAUCCGCGUGGAGCCCUGACCCAGAUCAGAGAACAGUUGUAUCUUGAGAACGAGUUUACUUCCAAAGCCUAAUCAUCUUCAAAGUAUCUUUGCAGUAACAGAUAAACAUUUCUCCUUUGCAAUUUUUACUUACUUCAGUUGUGCUGCAGGAGUGGCCUCAUGAAAAAAGAAUGCUUUCUCAGGGCUAGGAUAAAGCAGUCAUUUUAUAACAGUUAUUGGAAGAUACCAAUCAAAGGCUGCAGUCACCUCUGAUCCAUUUCGGAGCACAGCAGAAAGGCCGUUAUCUGGAAGAACAAAGGGAACCAGGCUGUUAAAACCAGCAGACGGUGUCAGGCAAGCAGAACAAGGCUGGGAAUGCUAAACGCGGCACACUCAAAACCAAAUGAGCAAAGCAGCAAGGCACUCGCUUACCCCUGCGCCCUGGGAACAGCCCACUAGCAGAGAUGAUGGAUGGAGAGGAGGGGGUGCAGGGCCUGGAGCUUGCUGGGGAGCCUGGGAAGGACCGAGGGUCCCUAGCUGCAUGAGCUCACAGCCUCUUGGGUGCUGCAGGGGGUGGCCUCCCUCCUUCCCUACCUCCUGCGAGGGAAGGUGGGAUGCUAGGUAGGGGUGUAAGCGGGGAGAAAGAACACUUUAGUGUGCAUCUUCCAAAGACAGAUUUCAUUUGCUUUGAAGAUCUGUUCUCUCUUUUCUGUUGAGGCAUAUGGAAAUUGACUGCAUUGUGUCCUGAAGCCAUGUGGAUGUUGGUUUUUCUGAUGUAACUAAGGAUUCAAUAGCAUGUAGCUCCCUGUAAUGUGGUCUGAUAGGACAUCUUCAAUUUGCCACUGUAGACAAGUUUCUUUGGUUGUUUUGUGACUAGUGCAAUUGGAAACAUAUUCCAAACACAAUGAUGGGAAGAAAGGGAAAAGGCCUGCGUUUCCCUUCAGUGCUCCCCAUGUGAUCUAUCUGGAACGGGUACCCUUGCAGUUUUCUGUGGUUCUUUUGCAUACAGCUAUGCACUGAGCAAAGUAAGAGUCUCUCUGCUUUUUUGGCAUAAAAGGAGCUAUUCUUUCAAAGCAUGGGGUUUUCCAGGUUAGUAAUAAAAUUAUCUUUAUGUUUCUUAAACAUAGAGCUUCUGCAAGUGCAAUUCAUAAACAAGUGUCAUGGGAUGUUUUCAGAGCAACUCAAGGUCUGUUCCACUUCCACAGAGAUUGUGAAAGUCUUGCUGUUGACUUACAUCUUGCUGUUGAUAAUAUCCUGCUUCACCUCCAGUUGUUAUUCCAGCAGAAGAGAGGUCUCUCGUGCUCCUGUGUCACAUCUGUAGGCCCUUCUGGCUGUUCACCCAUGUCCCUUGCGAAGCUGUGCCAGGCACUGAUUUAUCAGAGGUGCAGUCAAAUGCUGCAUCUUACCUUAAAAUCCUAAAGACAGAAAACAAAUUCAUAAGCUUUCGUCUGCAGGUGUCAACGUGCAAACCUGCCUGUGCAGGUGGGAGAUCUCAGUCCUCUCCAUUGGCUGCAAUCAGGGUUUUCAAAGUCCUGCAUCAGCAUUUUUCAAGCCUGUACACACUUGAAUCAGAACAGGAAGAAAACAUCCAUACAACUCAAGUGAAUGGACUGGGAAAAAAAUCUUGAAAGAGCAAAGUGGAGAUCCAGCAAAUGUGUGCGUCUGAUCCAUUCUGGCUUUUCCAUGCACUAGGGACACUGUCUUGGAGUAGUUCUAAAAAUGUUUGCACCACAUCGAGCAAAGACAUACCUGUGGUGUCCGAACCAGGUGACAUCUGGCAAGCUGGCAUCCCAGAGGUCCAUGUACCACUCCACUGGGAUGCACGCAGCACUACAGUGGCAGAUUUUGGAUUAGCUUUGAGACAAACUGCAAACUAUAAUCCAGCCACGGACUUGCUCCUGAGAACACGACGAGUUUGUCCAUGGGUAUGGUGACUUGUAGCUCUUUUUCAAAUGAUCCAGCUGUGGGAAAGGAAAAUGUGAGGGUCUCACACUGAUGUGAGCUCAAUGAUUUAGGGGUUUUGCUGUACUUAAUGGCUCUGCUAAUUGGGUUGAGUGGAAAGACCAUGUCCCCUCAGCUUCUACUCCUCCUGCUCUCUCCAGGCCCAAAAGGAGGAGGUGAGGGCACAGCCCACCUGUGGUGUGAAGGUAAGUAAAAAGGGGAGGAGAGCUCUCUCUUGCUUGUGUCUCCCCUGGCCCUGGCACCAGCAGGUGUGGAGCUUGCCUUGUCCUUCCCCCUCCCCAAACUCAGCAAACCAGCCCGUAUUUCUGAGACACAUUCUGCUCACCCAGAUUUAGGAACUCCACACAGGAAGAGGUAACACAAAAAGAGUGUGACAGGGCUGAAUUUAAGGGAUCUUCAGCUUCCCCCCCUGCCCUCAGUGUCUCAGGUUGGGACUUCAUCCCAGAUCAUUACAUGCUUAGCCAGGCAUAGCAGAGAUCAGCUCUUCCUUCCUGUUCAUGCAGCCCUGGGCAAACUGGUUGUACUUUGUUCAGAAGAAUAAACGGCAACCAGCAUCACGGUCAGCUCAUUUCCAUCGUCAUCGCUGAUCUCGACCUGUCAGCUGCUUUUGCCGCUUCUUAUUUGUUGGCAAAGACACUCAAGCCAAAGGUCCUUUGGGAGACGCAAAGACAAUAGAAGGAAACAUUUGCCUGGUGUCUGAUGUUACCGCAAAGGGCUGGCCAGUGCACGUAAAAAUAUUGGACUUAUGAUAGAAAAUUUCAUGGGAAAAUUGCAGGGAUGAGACCUGUGCUUCUAAGGACCUAUCUGCUCCCUGAUGCAUGCUCCAAUUUUGGCUGGAAUCAGCCUUUCUCAGCAAACUCCCACCCCUAAAGCUGAAAGGCUUUUGGGCUCAGGUAGGGCAGGGUACUAGUCGCAGCAGCUCCCCGAGUCAUUCCCUGUUUUCUAUUCCCACUCCCAUCGUGUCAUCCAGAUUUCCAAAAAGGGACAGCUGUUCCCAUCUGACUAGUCCUGAUGUGGAGUACAACUUAAACUCAAGACACCAACUAUCCAAUCCCAAUCCUUCCUGGAGUUCUUCCUUGCUGCAUUUUGGCUCUCCUCUCUCGCACCAGAAAACACCCUAGUUCAGGCACAAGCUGUGACUCUUCUGUGCAGCUGCUGCUUGUUAUCGUGUCAGACCCUUUUGUAUCAAAAGAGAUCCUGUCUAUGUGUGAAAUGAAACCUAGUUAUAAAAGAAGAGAAAAAUGUGGAUUCCCUGGGGUUGUGGUUGAGGCUGUGGGACUCUCUUAAACCCUGGGAGAUUAAUUUCUAGUUCUGCAAACAAGCUCUGAGUGGGAAAUGUUGCCUGCUGGAGCCAGCUCCUCCUACUGCAACUAAUGUGUUGAGACUCGGUGUGUGUGAAGGUUGCAUCUCUGGAAAGUAUUGUGAUGGACCACUGUCAGUGCAGGAAACCAACAAAACACCGCAUGGUCAGCAGGUAUACAUUGGAGAAGUCAGACUGUCUUCAGUGGAUUUACUGUUCAUUUAGUAACAUUUCAUUGUUGUUUUAUAUAUAUUCAGAUUUACUGAUCCAGGCAAAGGGGUUUGCAAUGGAAGGAACUGCAGAUCAGGAGGACAAUGUAUGUGAGUACCAGCAGAGCUCACGUCACAGCAGCACCACGCACAGGGUUACGUAGUUUGGAAGCGUGGGUACCUGUCUCUCACUCUCUUGCACUAACUUGAAUUUGUUUUGCAGAGGAGCACAUACAGGAAAGGUCUGCAUGGCUGUUUUUGAAGAGGAAAGAGAGAAGAAUGUGUUGAUAGCAGAAGGACAAAGGCACAAAUACACUAGAAAAGGUGUGCAAGGAGAAUUUAAAGAUGGGUUCAACAACAGAUAUUCAGAUGUGAAGAAGAAAUUCUGCAGUAAGCACAGAAUGACUAGUGGUUUCUUUGCUCCAUAGGAAAAUAGGAAGACAGGGAGAAGAUGCAGCAUGUAAGAAAUAAAUGAUAUAUUAUUCCCUUACCCCUUUUUUUCUGCUGGUUUUGGCUGGUCUUCCUCAACUAUUUUUUUAAUGGUCCAGCUGGGCGAGCCCUUCACUUCAGCC